UUUACCUUUUACAGACACGAACGGCCAAUACAGACAUAACGGUUUCAAUAUCCAGCGGAUGCUCAGAAUUGGCAAAGUGCGGAAGUCCGCCGAUGUGAUGCCGACAGUGGACAGACGGAGGAUAGGCGGGUGUAUAAGAUCCUGCUUACAAACAGGCUCCAUGUCAUUUAUCGGUUGUCACAUGAUGUGUGCUUGAUCUUGGCUGCUCGGAAUACCUGAAAAUUUUUUUUUUUU